rfam:Streptomyces sp. 769, complete genome.
CUUGAACGACCCGAGCCACAAGGGCCGUUCACGAUCCUGGCCGUAGGUGGCCAGGAUCGCCUGGGCCUC